rnacentral:tRNA from 1 species
CAAGUCCCUUUGAUCAUACACAUAAACAUAUAUCAAUAAACCUCCAAAGUGAGGCAAAUAUAAAAAUAUGACUU